rnacentral:rRNA from 1 species
GAUGAACGCUGGCGGCGUGCCUAAUACAUGCAAGUCGAGCGAACAGACGAGGAGCUUGCUCCUCUGACGUUAGCGGCGGACGGGUGAGUAACACGUGGAUAACCUACCUAUAAGACUGGGAUAACUUCGGGAAACCGGAGCUAAUACCGGAUAAUAUAUUGAACCGCAUGGUUCAAUAGUGAAAGACGGUUUUGCUGUCACUUAUAGAUGGAUCCGCGCCGCAUUAGCUAGUUGGUAAGGUAACGGCUUACCAAGGCGACGAUGCGUAGCCGACCUGAGAGGGUGAUCGGCGACACUGGAGCUGAGAGACGGUCCAGACUCCUACGGGAGGCAGCAGUAGGGAAUCUUCCGCAAUGGGCGGAAGCCUGACGGAGCAACGCCGCGUGAGUGAUAAAGGUCUUCGGAUCGUAAAACUCUGUUAUUAGGGAAGAACAAAUGUGUAAGUAACUAUGCACGUCUUGACGGUACCUAAUCAGAAAGCCACGGCUAACUACGUG